rnacentral:rRNA from 1 species
GACGAACGCUGGCGGCGUGCUUAACACAUGCAAGUCGAACGGAAAGGCCCUGCUUUUGCGGGGUGCUCGAGUGGCGAACGGGUGAGUAACACGUGAGUAACCUGCCCUUGACUUUGGGAUAACUUCAGGAAACUGGGGCUAAUACCGGAUAGGAGCUCCUGCUGCAUGGUGGGGGUUGGAAAGUUUCGGCGGUUGGGGAUGGACUCGCGGCUUAUCAGCUUGUUGGUGGGGUAGUUGCUUACCAAGGCUUUGACGGGUAGCCGGCCUGAGAGGGUGACCGGCCACAUUGGGACUGAGGUACGGACCAGACUCGUACGGGAGGCAGCAGUGGGGAGUAUUGCACAAUGAGCGGGAGCCUGAUGCAGCAACGCCGCGUGCGUAAAAACGGCCUUCGGGUUGUAAACCACUUUCGCAUGUGACAAAGCGUGAGUGACGGUAAUGGGUAAAGAAGCACCGGCUAACUACGUG